GGACCUGCUGUCAGACUGAUGGAGCUGACAUGGAUGUAUCUGUAGUAAGUGGACCUGCUGUCAGACUGAUGGAGCUGACAUGGAUGUAUCUGCAGUAAGUGGACCUGCUGUCAGACUGAUGGAGCUGACAUGGAUGUAUCUGCAGUAAGUGGACCUGCUGUCAGACUGAUGGAGCUGACAUGGAUGUAUCUGCAGUAAGUGGACCUGCUGUCAGACUGAUGGAGCUGACAUGGAUGUAUCUGCAGUAAGUGGACCUGCUGUCAGACUGAUGGAGCUGACAUGGAUGUAUCUGCAGUAAGUGGACCUGCUGUCAGACUGAUGGAGCUGACAUGGAUGUAUCUGCAGUAAGUGGACCUGCUGUCAGACUGAUGGAGCUGACAUGGAUGUAUCUGCAGUAAGUGGACCUGCUGUCAGACUGAUGGAGCUGACAUGGAUGUAUCUGCAACGAUCCUGCAGGGCAAGAAGCCGGAUGUGGAGGUCCUGGGCUGGCGUGGUUACACCUGGUCUGCGGUUGUAAUGCCGGUUGGACGUACUACCAAAUUCUCUAAAACAACAUUGGAGCCUGCUUAUGGACCAUGCUUGAUGACUCCUUGUUGUCCCAGGUCCACCUGGUUGUGCCGCUGCUCCAGUUUCAACCUGUUCACCAGACGUGCUACCUGUCCUAGACCUGCUGUUUUCAACUCUCUAGAAACAGCAGUUGAAUAAUCGGCUAUGAAAAGCCAACUGACAUUUACUCCUGAGGUGCUGACCUGUUGCACCCUCAACAACUACUGUGAUUAUUAUUAUUUGACUCUGCUGGUCAUCUAUGAACAUUUGAACAUCUUGGCCAUGUUCUGUUAUAAUCUCCACCCGGCACAGCCAGAAGAGGACUGGCCACCCCACAUAGCCUGGUUCCUCUCUAGGUUUCUUCCUAGGUUCUGGCCUUUCUAGGGAGUUUUUCCUAGCCACCGUGCUUCUACACCUGCAUUGCUUGCUGUUUGGGGUUUUAGGCUGGGUUUCUGUACAGCACUAUGCGACAUCAGCUGAUGUAAGAAGGGCUUUAUAAAUUAAUUUGACCAAUACAAUGCUUCUUCUCUGUAAUCAAAUUAACAGCAGGCUUUCAGCAUGCUUAUAGAGAAGGGGACUCAACAUGUACUGCACUGACACACAUUUUGAAGAUUGUGAGAGUUGUACUGUUAAGAUUUCAGUGCAGCCUUGAUAUUAUUGACCAUAACCUGUUGUUGAGAACUUAUGUGUUCAAGCUUUUCAACCAUAUCGUGGAUUAAGAGAUAUCUAAUAUAACAUAGGGUUGUCUUUAAUGGAAGCUUCUCUAAUGUCAAACAUGUAAAUUGUGCUGUACCGCAAGGCAGCUCUCUAGGUCCUAUACUCAUUUCUAUUUUUACCAAUGACCUGCCACUGGCAUUAAACAAAGCAUGUGUGCCCAUGUAUCCUGAUUAUUCAUCGAUAUACGCAUCAGUUGCAGUCUGUUUUGGAAUGGGUGGCCAGUAAUAAACUGGUCUUAAACAGCUCUAAAACUAAGAGCAUUGUUGCUUUCACUUCUUUGACUGCAUCUCUCUUCUUCCUGUGUAUUUCUCUAUCGUGAUCUCUCUUCUUCCUGUGUCGUGAUCCCUCUUCUUCCCUAAGUUCUAGACCUCAGCUGAAUCUGGUAAUGAAUGGAAUGGCUGUUGAACAAGUUGAGAAAAAAUUAACUUAGUUACCUUCGAUUGUAAACGGUCAUGGUCAAAACAUAUAAAUUAAAUGGUUGUAAAGAUGGAGGAGAGUUCUGUCCGUAAUAAAGAGAUGCUCUGGAAAGACUGAUUGCGUCACUUCUUGUUUUUAUAAGAAGCAUUGUGUUGGAAAGUCAACUUACACAAAGCACUGACACACACUUCUUUUUAGUCUCCAGGUCCAGGACAAAUUCAAGGAAACGUACAGUAUUAUACAGAGCUAUGAGAGCAUGGAACUCCCAUCUUAUAUAGCACAAGUGAACAGCAAACCUGGUUUCAAAAAAGCAACACCUCACAGCACUACGCCUCUCCCCAAAUGUAACCCACUUGUGUUUAUGUACUGACAUGUACAGUAUGUGUAACUGAUAGAUGCACACACACAUUACAUGAUUAUGUUUUUAAACGUCAAUUGUGAUGUCUUUCGUCUGUCUUUUUCGUUAUGUCUCGGACCCCAGUAAGACUAGCUGUCACCAUUAGCGUUGCCAUGGGGAUCCUAAUAUAUUAAAUCAAAACGGGUUGUAGUAGUAGGUGCACUGCUUUGUGUCAAGAACUGUAACGCUGCAGGGUUUUUCACGCUCAACCGUUUCCCUGUGUGUAUCAAGAAAGGUCUGCCACCCAAAGGACAUCCAGCCAACUUGACACAACAGUGGGAAGUAUUGAAGUCAACAUGGGCCAUCAUUCCUGUGGAACGCUCUCAACACCUUGUAGAGUCCAUGCCCCCAACGAAAUGAGGCUGUUCUGUUCUCAAAUUAAGAUCCUACAUUUGGGCUCCAGAGUGGUGCAGCGGUCUAAGGCACUGCAUCUCAGUGCUAGAGGCAUCACUACAGACCCUGGUUCAAUUCUAGGCUGUAUCAAAACCGGCUGUGAUUGGGAGUCCCAUAGGGCGGCGCACAAUUGGCCCAGCAUCGUCCAGGUUUGGGUUUGGCU